AUACGGAGGGUGCAAGCGUUGUCCGGAUUUAUUGGGUUUAAAGGGUGCGUAGGUGGCGUGUUAAGUCAGUGGGGAAAGCCUGCAGCUCAACUGUAGAGGUGCCAUUGAUACUGACAUGCUUGAGUAUGGACGAGGUAGGCGGAAUUUGUGGUGUAGCGGUGAAAUGCAUAGAUACCACAAAGAACACCGAUAGCGAAGGCAGCUUACUGGACCAUAACUGUCACUGAGGCACGAAAGUGUGGGUAGCGAACAGGAUUAGAAACCCUAGUAGUCC
rnacentral:rRNA from 1 species